rnacentral:rRNA from 1 species
UACGAAGGGGGGCUAGCGUUUGCUCGGAAUCACUGGGGCGUAAAGGGUGCGUAGGCGGGGUCUUUAAGUCAGGGGGUGAAAUCCUGGAGCUCAACUCCAGAACUGCCUUUGAUACUGAAGAUCUUGAGUUCCGGGGAGAGGUGAGUGGAACUGCGAGUGUAGAGGUGAAAUUCGUAGAUAUUCGCAAGAAACACCAGUGGCGAAGGCGGCUCACUGGCCCGAUACUGACGCUG